CUCAGAUUGAACGCUGGCGGCAUGCCUUACACAUGCAAGUCGAACGGCAGCACGGGUGCUUGCACCUGGUGGCGAGUGGCGAACGGGUGAGUAAUACAUCGGAACAUGUCCUGUAGUGGGGGAUAGCCCGGCGAAAGCCGGAUUAAUACCGCAUACGAUCUACGGAUGAAAGCGGGGGACCUUCGGGCCUCGCGCUAUAGGGUUGGCCGAUGGCUGAUUAGCUAGUUGGUGGGGUAAAGGCCUACCAAGGCGACGAUCAGUAGCUGGUCUGAGAGGACGACCAGCCACACUGGGACUGAGACACGGCCAGACUCCUACGGGAGGCAGCAGUGGGGAAUUUUGGACAAUGGGCGAAAGCCUGAUCCAGCAAUGCCGCGUGUGUGAAGAAGGCCUUCGGGUUGUAAAGCACUUUUGUCCGGAAAGAAAUCCUUGGCUCUAAUACAGUCGGGGGAUGACGGUACCGGAAGAAUAAGCACCGGCUAACUACGUGCCAGCAGCCGCGGUAAUACGUAGGGUGCGAGCGUUAAUCGGAAUUACUGGGCGUAAAGCGUGCGCAGGCGGUUUGCUAAGACCGAUGUGAAAUCCCCGGGCUCAACCUGGGAACUGCAUUGGUGACUGGCAGGCUAGAGUAUGGCAGAGGGGGGUAGAAUUCCACGUGUAGCAGUGAAAUGCGUAGAGAUGUGGAGGAAUACCGAUGGCGAAGGCAGCCCCCUGGGCCAAUACUGACGCUCAUGCACGAAAGCGUGGGGAGCAAACAGGAUUAGAUACCCUGGUAGUCCACGCCCUAAACGAUGUCAACUAGUUGUUGGGGAUUCAUUUCCUUAGUAACGUAGCUAACGCGUGAAGUUGACCGCCUGGGGAGUACGGUCGCAAGAUUAAAACUCAAAGGAAUUGACGGGGACCCGCACAAGCGGUGGAUGAUGUGGAUUAAUUCGAUGCAACGCGAAAAACCUUACCUACCCUUGACAUGGUCGGAAUCCCGCUGAGAGGUGGGAGUGCUCGAAAGAGAACCGGCGCACAGGUGCUGCAUGGCUGUCGUCAGCUCGUGUCGUGAGAUGUUGGGUUAAGUCCCGCAACGAGCGCAACCCUUGUCCUUAGUUGCUACGCAAGAGCACUCUAAGGAGACUGCCGGUGACAAACCGGAGGAAGGUGGGGAUGACGUCA
rnacentral:rRNA from 1 species